rnacentral:rRNA from 1 species
CACGCCGUAAACGAUGGAUACUAGGUGUGGGAGGUAUUGACCCCUUCCGUGCCGGCGUUAACACAAUAAGUAUCCCACCUGGGGAGUACGAUCGCAAGGUUGAAACUCAAAGGAAUUGACGGGGGCCCGCACAAGCAGUGGAGUAUGUGGUUUAAUUCGAAGCAACGCGAAGAACCUUACCAGGUCUUGACAUCCCGAUGACCGGCGUAGAGAUACGUCUUCUCUUCGGAGCAUCGGUGACAGGUGG